UACGAAGGGGGCGAGCGUUGUUCGGAAUUACUGGGCGUAAAGGGCGCGCAGGCGGCUCUGAAAGUCAGAUGUGAAAGCCCCGGGCUUAACCUGGGAACUGCAUUUGAUACUCUAGAGCUUGAGUACGGGAGAGGAGAGUGGAAUUCCCAGUGUAGAGGUGAAAUUCGUAGAUAUUGGGAAGAACACCGGUGGCGAAGGCGGUUCUCUGGACCGUAACUGACGCUGAGGCGCGAAAGCGUGGGGAGCAAACAGG
rnacentral:rRNA from 1 species